ensembl:piRNA 21ur-14145 ncRNA
UUGUUACAGGAUCAGUGAAAG